AGUGAACGCUGGCGGUAGGCCUAACACAUGCAAGUCGAACGGCAGCACAGUAAGAGCUUGCUCUUACGGGUGGCGAGUGGCGGACGGGUGCGGAAUACAUCGGAAUCUACUUUUUCGUGGGGGAUAACGUAGGGAAACUUACGCUAAUACCGCAUACGACCUACGGGUGAAAGCAGGGGAUCUUCGGACCUUGCGCGAUUGAAUGAGCCGAUGUCGGAUUAGCUAGUUGGCGGGGUAAAGGCCCACCAAGGCGACGAUCCGUAGCUGGUCUGAGAGGAUGAUCAGCCACACUGGAACUGAGACACGGUCCAGACUCCUACGGGAGGCAGCAGUGGGGAAUAUUGGACAAUGGGCGCAAGCCUGAUCCAGCCAUACCGCGUGGGUGAAGAAGGCCUUCGGGUUGUAGAGCCCUUUUGUUGGGAAAGAAAAGCAGCAGGUUAAUACCCCGCUGUUCUGACGGUACCCAAAGAAUAAGCACCGGCUAACUUCGUG
rnacentral:rRNA from 1 species